rnacentral:tRNA from 1 species
GGCCCCUUCGUCUAUCGGUUAGGACAAAAGAUUCUCAAUCUUUAAAGAGGGGUUCGAUUCCCCUAGGGGCUAGCA